rnacentral:rRNA from 1 species
UUUUUUCCUCGAGGGCGAUAUCCUACGGGUCUAUGUAUGGAGAGGAGCAAGACAUUUGGGAUCGGAGUGUGGUGAGCGGCGGCGGUACCGUCGUACGUCGGCAAGAGGAUGGAAGGAGGCACUCCGGCUCGAGGCGGAGGACGCGACAUGGGAGGGGUGGCGUCGGAGGGCUGGUGACUGGGGAAGUGGAGGGGGCCAGGUGGGCGAGCCGGGGCAGCGGCGGAGGCGGGAGCGUCGACAGCUCGUACCCCUGAUGCGCCGACGCGAGCGGAGGCGACAGGGCGUGUAGGACGCGCGGAGACGGAAUUGGCACCGACUGGUACUGAGGGGACGCGUCAAGAUGCUUGUGGAGCGACGGCGACGGCUCGACAAGCAGGACCCCCUACAGCCUCCCCCCCGCCGCCUGCUCCCCAAGCUCACGUCCACGCGCGAACAAGAGAGGCGUCGCCACCGCCGCGACGAGCGUAAGUGCGUCGUCUUGCACUGUCCCGGAGGUUCUUUUACAGGUGGACCAGGAAAGAAAUCAUGAAGUAGUAACCUACUGCCGACCAUAUAACUACGACCUCCGUUCGUCCUAGUUAACCGGAGGAAACUAAGUGUACAAGUACCCUUUAAGCAAGGAAAGACCUGAAGUAGUAACCAACUUUACACCAUAUCACUGAGACCUCCGUUUACCGUCCGUACCCGAAGAGUAGUAAAUCGAAGAAAACCAAGGGUACAAUUACCCUUUAAGAACGAGAACGUCAAUUAACAGAAACGCCUUGAAGACAACUGUUCGUAUUUCUCGGAUCUGAGACUAAAAACCUCAUAUAGUACCACCGACACGUCUAAUAGGUACAGGGUCGUCUUAUAAAAUCUACUCGAUAGUAGGAGAAACAAACUAGUUCAUGUCCACAUGUUUUUAUUUUACAACCGGGUGAAACCACUUGAACUUUGCCAAAGAUCGAUGACCCCAAGAAAUAAUCCACUACCUCUUCCGAGAAGAAAUCAGAGUCGACGAGAAAAUCUUCGACCUGAACGUCUCAUAUUCUUACCAGCUCAACUACGAAGUUCCAACGUAGACCUAUCACGACUUUUCCAUACACCCUAAGUAGAAAGGGAGUGUCCCUAGGAACCAAAAGCUUGUUAUGUGGUCCACCUGCGCUUCAGGGUUUACCAUGAAUAAUGUUUCUGGUGAUUUGGUCGUCGACUACUCCCCGUUAGCUGUCUAGUUUCUCCUCGAGGCCUACUACAACACCGAAACUCUUUCUACUCCUCGAGACAAGGACCACUUUCGCUACUUAAAACACUAUAUGAUUCUUUCGGAAACGAUUGUCUUUUACACUUGCCGAGCUCAUCACCUUCGUGUGUCUAUAGUGAUUGAGGCCAGGUCGUCCGACGACAUGAACGUGUUACAAAUGUACAAUCAGCCUCCUCAGCCUCACUACUUUACAGACUUACCCUCUACCGUGGCAUGUAUCUCAGUUAACUAAGAGUUCUACUAAGCACGAUACACCAGUCCACGGACACACUAUAAGACGCAUAAUCCACCCUCAGGUGGGCGUCAGCCUGUUUUGUCGCACGUGACAAUUACUACCUCUUAAACUAACUUCUUUGCUUGUUUCUUAAAGGUCACCGAAGUCUUUCUCGGUCUAACCAAAAACCUCAGGUAUACGGCUGAGAGGGACGUAAUUCCUUUCUUAUACCGCUGGACAACUAUUCGACACCAAAUGAACCUCUUCGGGACUUACAAAAGUUUCUAGAGCUUAACACCCUAUUAGAAUAGAUAACGAUAGCUAAUAGCCCAUUUCAACGACUACGUCAAUCAGAUUAUUUAUGUGCCGAGAGGUAAUGUGGGUUACUGGGUUUUAAUACCACAAGUGAACCACUGCGAUGUUUAUUGCUACUAGUAAUAUUCUUUCGUAACCUUCAGAGGUUAUUAUUUAGACGAGCUCGAGACGCAAGAGACCGAGCAUCACGCAUGUUGUUCUUGCUGAAGAUAUGUAGGUUUUAAGAAACCCUUAGACGUAACCGUAACUUACGCAACAUAGGUCUACCGACCAAACGGAUACCAUAUUGACGUACCUUCCUAUUUCUAGAACUCUUCCGAAACCUACGAAAAUCAGCACGACACNNNNNNNNNNNNNNNNNNNNNNNNNNNNNNNNNNNNNNNNNNNNNNNCGUGUACUAAUCUCCCUCUUCAGUUCAUAGUCAGGUCAGUAAGUCCCUUCGACAAUUCAAGUUCUCCUUAUCAACCGUUCAAACCCUUUUAAUGUCAUUCCAACGAAACCUGUGUGUGUUAUAAGCUGACUGUGAACUUCGAUGGUUUUACCAUAAUUUAAACAGGAAGUUGUUCGCGAAGUUACAACUAAAUAACCUGUCCCACUACUGGUGGGAGCUUCUUGUUCGAUGAGUAGAACUACUAUGAGUUCUGCGAUUUAGGUAGCCGUUGUGAAGUCUACUAAGUUUAUUUCUCUGGUCCGUUAGUUCAGUUAAUAAUCUAUAUUAACCACUAUAGGAACUCGUCUAACAUUUGUCACCCCGAUCGCAAGGUCUCUAUACACCUAAUAGACGAUCUAUGGUAUUCUCGUUCCCACUGGAACUCUUUACAAGAUUUCGAAACGCGUCAGUUCAAGUCAUAGAUUUCCCAAGUCUUAAUACAGUACUGGUAUUCUUCAAGUUUUUCAUACGAGUUCGAAGAAACGUCGAAACGUUCAAGAUGUACCUUUAAAGUAGGUACUGUCCUUCGUUUUUUCUUAAUAACAAUCGCCUCUACGUAGAAUUUUCGAGGAACUUUCUCCCGAACUUGAAACAUCCGAGUUUCCUCAUAUUUCUUGAACUACUGACGGAACAACUUAAUUUCCUGGACUAACCACGACGGAUCUGAAUAACUCCGUGCUAUGGACGUUACGUACAGCGUGACAACGAUUAACUUCAAGGGUAGAGAUCGACCGUCUAGACUGAACACUUAGUUCCUAUGAACCCAGUGUGUUCGAACUAACCACUUUAGAACCAAUGCAACUACUCGUAGCAGUACAGUCGCGGACCAACUUUAGAGUCAAUGCAACUACUUUACAUCCAACUACUCGUACAUUAGAAUCACGUAUUAAUAAAUACGUACAAACAUCUUAAUAGUAGGUUACCUACGGUAUACAUCUCAUAAUCGACGCCAAAAACCUGUAACAUAGUAAUUAACGUCGUAUGAAUAAAUGAUUUUUUUGAAUAAAUGUUUAUACCAGGUUUACAAACGG